AAGGCGUAAUUUUGUGAUUCAGGUAUCUGCUUGUGCAUCACCAAUGACUAUUUUAUGGGAUGUGUUCGUUCCAGAGAAGUUGCUUAUUUGUUGACAUAUUGAAUCAAUUUUAAAUUUAUGAUAAGAAAACCUAAUUUUCAGAAGAUUUGAAGAAAAUGUUAAUGCUUGGAAAUUAUAUAGUAUCCUUAACAUAUUAAGUUUUGUUUGGGUUUACGUUAGCAUCUUGACCACACCACUUUUUCUGUCUCAAAAGAUUUGCUCUAGGUUGCUGGUUGUCAUCAUCAUCUUUAUUUCUUAUGAUGGUGGAAUACUAGUUACUUGUGCUUUCUUUCCCAGUUUCCAGACAGCGAGGAGUUGGGCGUACAAUUUAGUUUUGAAAUGUAAAAUCUGAAAGGCUCCUCAGCUGGGUGUAUGUGACAAAACUGUCUGUUUCAACUGCAGUGGAAAUCUGUAGGCAGACCUCUGUUUUUUAUCUUUUCCAAACAUGAGGGUAUUAUGUAGGGGUUCUGUAAAUUUUGCACCACUGACCAUUCAUUUUUGUCUCCAUGUCUUAGCAUUUGAAGCUAAAAUUCACCAAUGGAAUGCAGAUUAGGAAGAAGUUAAUUAGAUCUUAACAUGUUCCAUGCAUAUCCAAGUUUUGAUAAAAUGAUACCUGUGAACUUUUUGAUGAUUAUUUGUAUGCUCAGCACUUGAUUUUUGAUGUACAGGCUUAUCACAGAGACUUACUAGAGCACUUGCCCCCCCCUGUUGCCUCUGUUAUUAGACGUCCGCCUCCCCUGAAUCGUGAUGGUGCAACUGGAAGGACUCCG
rnacentral:misc_RNA from 1 species